CCUCGCGCGAGCGGAGGAGUGCGCCGCGGCCAGCCGGGCUGAGUCUGGAACGCUGGUCUGCUCUGUGGGAAGCUAGCUGCCAAGCUGCAAAUAGCCCUACGGAAAGCCUCACACCACAGGGAACUGAGGUCUCUGACCAACAGCCAGGGGGGACUCCAGGACUGGCUGACAGUUGGAUUGAACUUGUAAGACCCUGUGCCAGAGGACCUAGCUAAGCUGAUGCACAGAAAUGUUUCAUAUGAUGGAAGAUGUGCUAAAAUGAAAUCAUCAUUUAGUUUGGAAACAGCCUCAAUGUCCAUCAACAGGAAAAUAGACUAUGUAAAGCCAUCCUACAAAAUCCUCUGCAACUGGGGCAAGGUCUCGAAGACAAAUUGCUCUGCAGAAAAAACAAGCUGCAACCAAGAAACCCGCCAAAAAUCCCAUUUAUGUAUAAAGAACCAAGCCAAGCAAAACUACUAUUUCUUUGCAUGCCCAAAAAGGGCAUAGAGAGGCCUAGAAGGAGCCAGUGAACUGAUGACAGUGAUGGUUUCUAGGGAGGGGAGUAUGAAGGGAUGUGGGG